UCCCUGAUAGUCCAGUGGUUAGAAUUCCACAUUCUGAAUGCAGGAGGCCUGGGUUCAAUCCUGGUCAGGGAA
rnacentral:tRNA from 1 species